rnacentral:rRNA from 1 species
UACGAAGGGGGCUAGCGUUGUUCGGAAUUACUGGGCGUAAAGCGCACGUAGGCGGAAUGUUAAGUCAGGGGUGAAAUCCCGGGGCUCAACCCCGGAACUGCAUUCGAUACUGCCGUGCUUGAGGACUGGAGAGGAGACUGGAAUUUACGGUGUAGCGGUGAAAUGCGUAGAUAUCGUAAGGAAGACCAGUGGCGAAGGCGGCCUGCUGGGCAGUUGCUGACGCUGAGGCGCGACAGCGUGGGGAGCAAACAGG